AUGCAUGAGUUAACUAAGGAAAACAUUGAGCGCAUGAAUGCUAAAUAUAAACUUGCUGGAGAUAAGGGUAGAAAACAUGUUGUGUUUGCACCUGGAGAUCUUGUUUGGUUACAUUUGCGUAAGGAUAGAUUUCCUGAUUUGCGCAAAUCAAAGUUAAUGCCACGUGCUGAUUGUCCCUUUAAGGUGUUAGAGAAAAUAAAUGAUAAUGCAUAUAAACUUGAGCUGCCUGCAGAUUUUGGGGUUAGUCCCACUUUUAACAUUGCAGAUUUGAAGCCUUAUUUGGGUGAGGAAGAUGAACUUCCGUCGAGGACGACUUCAUUUCAAGAAGGGGAGGAUGAUGAGGACAUCAAUACAAUUGUUACACCCACAGCCCCUGCUGCUAUACAUACUGGACCAAUUACUAGAGCUCGUGCACGCCAACUAAAUUACCAGGAAACAGACCCUCGUGGUCAGGUUGAUCGUGCUCCGGCGUGGUCAAUAACCUCUCGGAGUUGGUUUAGCGAUUGCUAA
rnacentral:rRNA from 1 species